AAUGAACGUUGGCGGCGUGGAUUAGGCAUGCAAGUCGAGCGAGAACCCGCAGGGGGGACAGCGGCAAACGGGGUAGGAAUGAUUGGUGACGUACCCUCGGGACGGGGAUAGCCACGGGAAACUGUGGGUAAUACCCGAUAACCUCCCGGGUUUGAAGACCUGGGUGCAAAGGUGUGAUUCCACCGGAGGAGCGGCCAAUCUGGUAUUAGCUAGUUGGUAGGGUAACGGCCUACCAAGGCUACGAUGCCUAGGGGGUGUGAGAGCAUGGCCCCCACCACUGGGACUGAGAUACUGCCCAGACACCUACGGGUGGCUGCAGUCGAGAAUCUUCGGCAAUGGGCGAAAGCCUGACCGAGCGACGCCGCGUGCGGGAUGAAGGCCUUCGGGUUGUAAACCGCUGUCAGAGGGGAUGAAGUUCUAGGAGGUUCUCCUUCUAGAUUGACAGAGCCUCAGAGGAAGCACGGGCUAAGUAUGUGCCAGCAGCCGCAGUAA
rnacentral:rRNA from 1 species